GGAGGUGUAGCUCAGUGGUGGAGUGUGUGCUUAGCAAUCACAAGGCCCUGGUUCAAUUCCCCAACACUUUCU
rnacentral:tRNA from 1 species